GGACCUUCGGGCCUCUUGCCAUCGGAUGUGCCCAGAUGGGAUUAGCUAGUAGGUGGGGUAAAGGCUCACCUAGGCGACGAUCCCUAGCUGGUCUGAGAGGAUGACCAGCCACACUGGAACUGAGACACGGUCCAGACUCCUACGGGAGGCAGCAGUGGGGAAUAUUGCACAAUGGGCGCAAGCCUGAUGCAGCCAUGCCGCGUGUAUGAAGAAGGCCUUCGGGUUGUAAAGUACUUUCAGCGGGGAGGAAGGGAGUAAAGUUAAUACCUUUGCUCAUUGACGUUACCCGCAGAAGAAGCACCGGCUAACUCCGUGCCAGCAGCCGCGGUAAUACGGAGGGUGCAAGCGUUAAUCGGA
rnacentral:rRNA from 1 species